rnacentral:rRNA from 1 species
CGUGACGCAGUCUAGUAUAGCAUCUAUACUGUGAAACUGCGAAUGGCUCAUUAAAUCAGUUAUCGUUUACUUUGAUAGUACCUUACUACAUGGAUACCUGUGGUAAUUCUAGAGCUAAUACAUGCUAAAAACCCCGACUUCGGGAGGGGUGUAUUUAUUAGAUAAAAAACCAAUGCCCCUCGGGGCUCCUUGGUGAAUCAUAAUAACUUAACGAAUCGCAUGGCCUUGCGCCGGCGAUGGUUCAUUCAAAUUUCUGCCCUAUCAACUUUCGAUGGUAGGAUAGUGGCCUACCAUGGUGGCAACGGGUAACGGGGAAUUAGGGUUCGAUUCCGGAGAGGGAGCCUGAGAAACGGCUACCACAUCCAAGGAAGGCAGCAGGCGCGCAAAUUACCCAAUCCCGACACGGGGAGGUAGUGACAAUAAAUACUGAUACGGGGCUCUUUUGGGUCUCGUAAUUGGAAUGAGUACAAUCUAAAUCCCUUAACGAGGAACAAUUGGAGGGCAAGUCUGGUGCCAGCAGCCGCGGUAAUUCCAGCUCCAAUAGCGUAUAUUAAAGUUGUUGCAGUUAAAAAGCUCGUAGUUGAACCUUGGGUCUGGCUGGCCGGUCCGCCUCACCGCGAGUACUGGUCCGGCUGGACCUUUCCUUCUGGGGAAUCCCAUGGCCUUCACUGGCUGUGGGUGGAACCAGGACUUUUACUGU